rnacentral:rRNA from 1 species
GGCUUUUUGAUUAUAAUUUAAGGUCUAACCUGCCCAAUGAUUUAUUAAAUGGCCGCAGUAUAUUGACUGUGCAAAGGUAGCAUAAUCAUUAGUUUUUUAAAUGAAAGCUUGUAUGAAAGGUUUAAUGAGAAAAAUACUGUCUCUAUCUAAAUAUAUUAGAAUUUUAUUUUUAAGUUAAAAAGCUUAAAUAUUUAUUGAAGACGAGAAGACCCUAUAGAAUUUUAUAUUUUUGUUAAAUUUAUUUAGUUUAGAAUUUUAUAAAUAUUUAUAAUAAAAGUAUUUAGUUGGGGUGAUGAAAAAAUUUAUUUAACUUUUUUUUUAUUUAAACAUGAAUUAAUGAAUAUUUGAUCCUUUAAGUAUAAAGAUAAAAAGAAAAAAUUACCUUAGGGAUAACAGCGUAAUUUUUUUUAGAGUUCUUAUCAAAAAAAAAGAUUGCGACCUCGAUGUUGGAUUAAAAUAAAUUAUUGGUGUAGAAGCUAAUAUAUUAGGUCUGUUCGACCUUUAAAUUUUUACAUGAUCUGAGUUUAAACCGGUGUGAG